rnacentral:rRNA from 1 species
UACAGAGGUCUCAAGCGUUGUUCGGAUUCAUUGGGCGUAAAGGGUGUGUAGGUGGCGCCGUAAGUCGGGUGUGAAAUUUCGGAGCUUAACUCCGAAACUGCAUUCGAUACUGCGGUGCUUGAGGACUGGAGAGGAGACUGGAAUUCAUGGUGUAGCAGUGAAAUGCGUAGAGAUCAUGAGGAACACCAGUGGCGAAGGCGACUUCCUGGCCUGCUUUGACACUCAGACGCGAAAGCAUGGGGAGCGAACGGG